UCUUGCGCAAUGCGCGAAAGCGUGACGCAGCAACGCCGCGUGGGGGAAGAAGGCCUUCGGGUUGUAAACCCCUUUCAGGAGGGACGAAGGUGUGGCGGUUAACAGCCGACCGCACUGACGGUACCUCCACAAGAAGCCCCGGCUAACUACGUUCCAGCAGCCGCGGUAAUACGUAGGGAGCGAGCGUUGUCCGGAUUUAUUGGGCGUAAAGAGCUCGUAGGCGGUUUGGUAAGUCGGGUGUGAAAGCUCCGGGCUCAACUCGGAGAGGUCACUCGAUACUGCCAUGACUGGAGUCCGGUAGGGGGGUGUGGAAUUCCCAGUGUAGCGGUGAAAUGCGCAGAUAUUGGGAGGAACACCAAUGGCGAAGGCAGCACCCUGGGCCGGUACUGACGCUGAGGAGCGAAAGCGUGGGGAGCAAAC
rnacentral:rRNA from 1 species